UGCUAGUAAUCGCGAAUCAGCAUGUCGCGGUGAAUACGUUCCCGGGCCUUGUACACACCGCCCGUCACACCAUGAGAGUUGGUAACACCCGAAGUCCGUGAGGUAACCUAACACUUAGGUGUUUAUGGAGCCAGCGGCCGAAGGUGGGAUUGAUGAUUGGGGUGAAGUCGUAACAAGGUAGCCGUAGGAGAACCUGCGGCUGGAUCACCUCCUUUCUAGGGAG
rnacentral:rRNA from 1 species